CCUACGGGUGGCUGCAGUGAGGAAUAUUGGUCAAUGGGCGCGAGCCUGAACCAGCCAAGUAGCGUGAAGGAUGACUGCCCUACGGGUUGUAAACUUCUUUUAUAAAGUAAUAAAGUGAGGCACGUGUGCCUUUUUGUAUGUACUUUAUGAAUAAGGAUCGGCUAACGCCGUGCCAGCAGCCGGGGUAAUACCGAGGAUCCGAGCGUUAUCCGGGUUUAUUGGGUUUAAAGGGAGCGUAGAUGGGUUGUUAAGUCAGUUGUGAAAGUUUGCGGCUCAACCGUAAAAUUGCAAUUGAUACUGGCAGCCUUGAGUACAGGUGAGGUAGGCGGAAUUCGUGGUGUAGCGGUGAAAUGCUUAGAUAGCACGAAGAACUCCGAUUGCGAAGGCAGCCUACUAAACUGCCACUGACAUUGAUGCUCGAAAGUGUGGGUAUCAAACAGGAUUAGAUACCCGAGUAGUC
rnacentral:rRNA from 1 species